rnacentral:rRNA from 1 species
ACCCUUUGGAGACAGAGGGGUGCUCGAAAGAGAGCCGUAACACAGGUGCUGCAUGGCWGUCGUCAGCUMGWGUCGUGAGAUGUUGGGUUAAGUCCCGCAACGAGCGCAACCMUUGUCAUUAGUUGMUANGAAAGGGCACUCUAAUGAGACUGCCGGUGACAAGCCGGAGGAAGGUGGGGACGACGUCAAGUCCUCAUGGCCCUKAUAGGUGGGGMUACACACGUCAUACAAUGGCUGGUACAGAGGGUUGCCAACCCGCGAGGGGGAGCCAAUCCCAUAAAACCAGUCGUAGUCCGGAUCGCAGUCUGCAACUCGACUGCGUGAAGUCGGAAUCGCUAGUAAUCGCGGAUCAGCAUGUCGCGGCGAAUACGUUCCCGGGUCUUGUACACACCGCCCGUCACACCAUGGGAGCGGGUUCUGCCAGAAGUAGUUAGCCUAACCGCAAGGAGGGCGAUUACCACGGCAGGUU